AUCCCUAGCUGGUCUGAGAGGAUGACCAGCCACACUGGAACUGAGACACGGUCCAGACUCCUACGGGAGGCAGCAGUGGGGAAUAUUGCACAAUGGGCGCAAGCCUGAUGCAGCCAUGCCGCGUGUAUGAAGAAGGCCUUCGGGUUGUAAAGUACUUUCAGCGGGGAGGAAGGUGUUGUGGUUAAUAACCGCAGCAAUUGACGUUACCCGCAGA
rnacentral:rRNA from 1 species